UACAGAGGUCCCGAGCGUUUGUUCGGAUUCACUGGGCGUAAAGGGUGCGUAGGUGGCGAGGUAAGUCGGAUGUGAAAGCUCGGAGCUCAACUCCGAAAUGGCAUUGGAAACUACCUUGCUCGAGGGUUGGAGGGGGACUGGAAUACUUGGUGUAGCAGUGAAAUGCGUAGAUAUCAAGUGGAACACCAGUGGCGAAGGCGAGUCCCUGGACAACUCCUGACACUGAGGCACGAAAGCUAGGGGAGCAAACAGG
rnacentral:rRNA from 1 species